CGCCACUUGGCCCAGUAGGGCAUUCGAGGUUGAAACCGAAGUGGGACACGCGGAGUACGACCCGGUGGCCA
rnacentral:tRNA from 1 species